rnacentral:rRNA from 1 species
GACGAACGCUGGCGGCGUGCCUAAUACAUGCAAGUAGAACGCACGGUUUAUACCGUAGCUUGCUACACCAUAGACUGUGAGUUGCGAACGGGUGAGUAACGCGUAGGUAACCUGCCUGGUAGCGGGGGAUAACUAUUGGAAACGAUAGCUAAUACCGCAUAAUAUUGAUUAUUGCAUGAUAAUUGAUUGAAAGAUGCUAUUGCAUCACUACCAGAUGGACCUGCGUUGUAUUAGCUAGUAGGUGAGGUAACGGCUCACCUAGGCGACGAUACAUAGCCGACCUGAGAGGGUGAUCGGCCACACUGGGACUGAGACACGGCCCAGACUCCUACGGGAGGCAGCAGUAGGGAAUCUUCGGCAAUGGACGAAAGUCUGACCGAGCAACGCCGCGGGAGUGAAGAAGGUUUUCGGAUCGUAAAGCUCUGUUGUAAGAGAAGAACGGGUGUGAGAGUGGAAAGUUCACACUGUGACGGUAGCUUACCAGAAAGGGACGGCUAACUACGUG